rnacentral:misc_RNA from 1 species
UCACAGCUUACGCUGGCAGUUUCAGUAGAGUUCUCAGCAUUAUCUGUUAGCAACUACUAAUAGGGGUUGCGCUCGUUAUGGGACUUAACCCGACACCUCACGGCACGAGCUGACGACAGCCAUGCAGCACCUAGACAGUUGUCUUGCGAAAGCCUCCUUUCAGAGACGGUCAACCGUCUUUCAAGCCCAGGUAAGGUUCCUCGCGUACCAUCGAAUUAAACCACAUGCUCCUCCGCUUGUGCGGGCCCCCGUCAAUUCCUUUGAGUUUCAACCUUGCGGUCGUACUUCCCAGGUGGAUCACUUAAUGCUUUCGCUCAGACGCGUACGGUGUAUUGCACACAUCGAGUAAUCAUCGUUUAGGGCGUGGACUAC